rnacentral:ncRNA from 1 species
UAUGGUUUAGAAAAUUUAUUAUGAAUUUAUUUUACAUAUAAAUUUUAGUGUGAAUUUUUAAUUAUUUUAAUAAUAAUUAAUUUAUAUUUUAUAGUAAUUAAUAUUAAAAAUUUAAGUAAUUAAGAUUUAGUAAUAUUUAAAUUAUUAACUAAUUUUGUGCCAGCAGUUGCGGUUAUACAAAGAUUAAAUUAAAUUUUUUUAGUGAUUAAUUAAUAAAUUUAUUAUUUAAUUUAAAUUUUAAAUUAUUAGGUGAAAUUUUAAUUUAAUAGAAUUUUAUUUUUAAUUUAUGAUAUUAAUAAAUUUUACAAAAAACUAAAUUUAAAUUUAAAAUACUAAAAUAGUAAAUAAUUAUUUAUUGAAACUUAAAUAAUUUGGCGGUAUUUUAGUUCAUUUAGAGGAAUCUGUUUAUUAAUUGAUAGUCCACGAAUAAAUUUACUUAAUUUAAAAAUUUAUAUAUCGUUGUUAAAAAAAUAUUUUUUUAUAAAAAUAAUAUUUAAAAAUUUAAAUUUAAAAUUAAAUCAGAUCAAGAUAUAGUUUAUAAUUAAGAAUAUAAUGGAUUACAAUAAAUUUAUUUAAUGAUGAAUAUUAAUUUGUAAUAUUUAAUUGAAAGUGGAUUUAAAUGUAAUUUUAUUUAUUUUAUUAAAAUGAUUAAAAAUUGAAAUAUGUACAUAUUGCCCGUCGCUUUCAUUUAUAAAUUGAAAUAAGUCGUAACAAAGUAGAGGUACUGGAAAGUGUUUCUAGAAAGAU